rnacentral:lncRNA from 1 species
CCCUCCGUCCCUUUAUAACUGACGUUUUAGAGUCUUUUUUUCUUUCCAAAAUAUUUGACGUUUUACAAUACCAAGAAUAUUUUGAUUUUUUGUUUCCUUUUCUACCCUUCCUUCUCCACCAUCAUUAAUGGUUAUUUUCUCUGUUUUCAAAAGACAGCAAACUACUACAGAUCCGGCCGAUUAUAGGCAGCAAGCUACUACAGAUCCGACCGAUUAUAUAUAGCAAGCUACUACAUAUUUAUAGAUCCGGCCGAUUCGUAGUAAAUUGAAUCGUUUAAGGAGCGAAAAAUAAAUCAUCGACGUUAUCUGUUCAGGUACUCGAAUACCUGAUAAAGGCUGGGCUUCUUCUUGUUUUUGUUAUCUCCGACGGCGGCAGCAGAGAAAUCUCCGCUGUGCUCGACGGAGAGGAGGUAAACGACAUUUAGGGAAUGGGAAAGCAUUUGGAGUAAGUAAAUCACCGACGGCACCCCCUCUUUCAUUGUUCAAUCACUACCAUAAAUAUUACAGAUUCGGCCGAUCCGUAGUAAAUUUACAGAUCCGGCCGACGAAGCUUACGUCUCACUUUGCAGAGAGACAAAGAAAUUUACAGCUCUAGUCGAUGAAGCUCAGAAAAUAUGAAAAUGAAAUGAGAGAAGAGGGAGAAGAGGGAGAGAUCUGAGUCUGG